rnacentral:lncRNA from 1 species
CGAUUCUUCUAUAUCGAUGACUGCAACUCUUCAAGGAUGCAGAUUUCGAAAGCUCCGACUCUUCAAGGACGGAGUGAAAACUCUUCUAGGUUUUCAAGGGUAUGAACUCUACAAGGUUCAUGAUACUUGCUUCAAGCAAAGCUUUUCAUUCAUCAAAAGCUGUUCGUCUUCUACCAGAAAUUGGAUGGCUUAUAUCGUCAAAGAAAUAAAGACAGAGCAUUGAAACUAGGAGAAAUAAAGACAGAACAUUAAAACUAGGAGAAAUAAUAAAAACAUAACGUCUUCAUGGCUCCCAAGGUGUCUUUCCAGCUUCCGGGAUGGACUCAAGAUGUCGUUAUGGCUUCUCGGUUUCGUCGAGCUUUAAUGCGGGCCGAUCUUCUUGGUCGAGAGAGCCGGUCUUCAAUGUGGGCUGCAU